AUUUGACAAAUAUAAGCGAAAAAAAGACUGCUCAAAUUGCACAGCCAGUAAAAAAUCGAUCUUUUCAAAAACAGAAAUUACAAUAAAUAAAAAUCGUCCACUCUGUUUCUUCCCAACGUUCCAAGAAUGCAUGCUGCGUUUCCCCUUUGAAUAGCAAUUGUCAUUCUUUGUGAUA